GACGGGUGAGUAAUGCAUAGGAAACUGCCCAGUAGUGGGGGAUAGCCCGGGGAAACCCGGAUUAAUACCGCGUACGCCCUUCGGGGGAAAGCAGGGGAUCUUCGGACCUUGCGCUAUUGGAUGUGCCUAUGUCGGAUUAGCUAGUUGGUGGGGUAAAGGCCUACCAAGGCGACGAUCCGUAGCUGGUCUGAGAGGAUGAUCAGCCACAUCGGGACUGAGACACGGCCCGAACUCCUACGGGAGGCAGCAGUGGGGAAUAUUGGACAAUGGGGGCAACCCUGAUCCAGCCAUGCCGCGUGUGUGAAGAAGGCUUUCGGGUUGUAAAGCACUUUCAGUGAGGAGGAAAAGUUGGUCGUUAAUACCGGCCAGCCUUGACGUUACUCACAGAAGAAGCACCGGCUAACUCCGUGCCAGCAGCCGCGGUAAUACGGAGGGUGCAAGCGUUAAUCGGAAUUACUGGGCGUAAAGCGCGCGUAGGUGGUUUGAUAAGCGAGAUGUGAAAGCCCCGGGCUUAACCUGGGAACGGCAUUUCGAACUGUCAGGCUAGAGUAUGGUAGAGGAGUGUGGAAUUUCCUGUGUAGCGGUGAAAUGCGUAGAUAUAGGAAGGAACACCAGUGGCGAAGGCGGCACUCUGGACCAAUACUGACACUGAGGUGCGAAAGCGUGGGGAGCAGACAGGAUUAGAUACCCUGGUAGUCCACGCCGUAACGAUGUCUACUAGCCGUUGGGACUCUUGAAGUCUUAGUGGCGCAGCUAACGCACUAAGUAGACCGCCUG
rnacentral:rRNA from 1 species